AUGAAACCUUUUUGCCUGGUGCUCUUUGAAGUAAAGUUUGCUCCUGCUGUUGGAACAGGAGCGCCUGGAGAAGGAGAAGAAGCUGUCCAAAGAUCUGGGCCAGGCGGCCACCAAGCUGCAGCAGCUACUCAAAGCCACCCAGGAACAGCUGACCAAAGAGAGAGACACAGUGAGAACACUUCAGAAGCACCUGGAAGGAAAGGAGGAAUACGUAGAGCUGAAGGAAGGAACAUCCGUCUGAGAGGAAGUUUACUGCAGACACUACAAAGAAAAACUACCAAAUAUGCCUUAUGAUUACCAUAGUUAUGCAUUCCAAACUAUUUCUUUCUUGUACUGUAGUUGAUUGCAUUUGUUGCAACUGUAGGAAUCAAAUGUUUGAUAUUAUGAACUUUUUAUUUAGGCAAGAUUAGAGGAGAUGAUCUACUACAAUCUUUAUUGAAACCCACAUUCCAUCACCAAUUCUGGCUAUGUCAGAAGUUAUUUAUCCCCCUGCCUUUAUAUUCCAGACAUUUACCCAUAGUUCAGUGUUAAAAAGGGAAACAGAUUGUACGUCAAACGUACAUCAACCUGUGCAAUUACUUUGUAUGUCUUUUCUAUGUGAUUGAAUGAUGGGAACAUUUUAUGGUUCAAUGUUUCAUUCCCUUUAGGGCCUGCUUUCCUCUGUAGCUGGCUGCCAAUUACACACAUCGAAUUUGUAUGAAUGAAUAAACUACAGUGUAGCUCUGUCAUUGUUGUUCGGUGUCACAGUUACUGCAAUGAGUGCGGGCAGGAAGCAAAGUUGAGUGUUAUACUUUGACAUGGUUUCAGAUCCGGUAAUGUGUGUGCUGAUCGUACAUCUGAUUCUCUCAGGAAGACUACAUUUUAAAAGUUAUACUAUCCUGCCGGGGUUGUAGAACAACAAGCAAGAUGUUGUAGGUUCCUCGGUGUCUGACAGGAAGUCCUGCUACGCUGCAACAUCCUUGCAGUUUAGGCCACAUACUGUUUUACAGCAACAUGUAGGGUUAUAAAUGUUAGUGUUAUGAACUAUAGUUGCUCUGUUCUGUCUUUUUUAAAGCCUGGUGAAAGUGGCAUUGCUUAACGCUUUACACAUUCUAAGGUUCAGGUUGCAUCAGUGAUUACAGACAAGGAAGUAAAUUACAAGAUGUACAAGCCAUGUAUGGUUUGAUUUUGGGCACGAUCUGUCAG
rnacentral:lncRNA from 1 species